ACUUCAUGUAGUCGAGUUGCAGACUACAAUCCGGACUACGAUACACUUUCUGGGAUUAGGCUCCCCCUCGCGGGUUGGCGGCCCUCUGUAUGUACCAUUGUAUGACGUGUGAAGCCCUACCCAUAAGGGCCAUGAGGACUUGACGUCAUCCCCACCUUCCUCCGGUUUGUCACCGGCAGUCUCAUUAGAGUGCUCUUGCGUAGCAACUAAUGACAAGGGUUGCGCUCGUUGCGGGACUUAACCCAACAUCUCACGACACGAGCUGACGACAGCCAUGCAGCACCUGUGUGCAGAUUCUCUUUCGAGCACUCCCAGAUCUCUCCAGGAUUCCCGNCAUGUCAAGGGUAGGUAAGGUUUUUCGCGUUGCAUCGAAUUAAUCCACAUCAUCCACCGCUUGUGCGGGUCCCCGUCAAUUCCUUUGAGUUUUAAUCUUGCGACCGUACUCCCCAGGCGGUCUACUUCACGCGUUAGCUGCGUUACUAAGUCAANUAANACCCAACAACUAGUAGACAUCGUUUAG
rnacentral:rRNA from 1 species